rnacentral:rRNA from 1 species
UACAGAGGGGGCAAGCGUUGUUCGGAAUUACUGGGCGUAAAGGGCGCGUAGGCGGCCAACUAAGUCAGACGUGAAAUCCCUCGGCUCAACCGGGGAACUGCGUCUGAUACUGGAUGGCUUGAAUCCGGGAGAGGGAUGUGGAAGUCCAGGUGUAGCGGUGAAAUGCGUAGAUAUCUGGAGGAACACCCGUGGCGAAGGCGGCAUCCUGGACCGGUAUUGACGCUGAGGCGCGAAAGCCAGGGGAGCAAACGGG